CUCCUCCCCCACCUUACUAUUACAAAUCCCCACCGCCACCUUCACCAUCUCCCCCACCACCCUACUACUAUAAAUCACCCCCACCACCUUCACCAUCUCCUCCACCACCAUACUACUACAAAUCACCCCCACCGCCAUAUGAACACAAGACUAAACCAUACUAUUACAAGUCUCCUCCACCACCAUAUGAACACAAGACUAAACCAUACUAUUACAAGUCCCCACCACCACCUUCACCAUCUCCUCCACCACCAUACUAUUACAAGUCCCCACCACCACCUUCACCGUCUCCACCCCCACCAUACUACUACAAAUCACCUCCUCCUCCAUCACCUAUUCCCCAUACACCUUACUACUACAAGUCCCCACCACCACCUAAGGUUCUUCCACCACCAUACUAUUACAACUCUCCUCCUCCACCUGUUGUGUAUCAUCACCCUCAUCCCUACCACCAUGCAUUGAUCGUGAAGGUAGUGGGUAACGUCUACAGCUUCAGAUGUUAUGACUGGGAGUAUCCUGAAAAGUCUCAUAACAAGAAACACCUCAAAGGUACAUCACAUUACAUUUCUCAAUUCUUUCAUUUUUAUAGAUUUUAUGUACAUCACUAUUGGCUCGUAGUUUCUCAAUACCAUUACAACUAAACUGCAAGUUUCAGUAAUGAGAUUCAUAUAGACAUGUUUUUAUUAACAUCUUUGUUUCUUAGAAAUUAUACAAACACUUAAUUUAGGUUUCUCCAUGUCCAAUAAAGUAAACAAUUGAUAUAUCAAAUUAACAUAUAUGAUAUAUCAUUUACCUCAUUAAAAUUUAAUAAUCCUGCCUAAUAUAAAGAUUCGGUUUGAAAAUGAUAGUUUAGUGAGCUUCUUUAUAAUAACACUCUCCAAUAUAUUAUGUUUUAAAAACAAUUAUAUUUCUAUUUGUCUAAAUUCAAAUUUGUUAUGGGACAGGUGCUGUUGUUGAAGUGACAUGCAAAGCCGGGAGCAAAAUCAUCAAGGCUUACGGUAAAACUAAGAUCAAUGGAAAGUAUGCCAUCACAGUUAAGGACUUUGACUAUGUCAAAUAUGGUUCAACAGUGUGCAAGGCUGCCCUUUAUGCUCCACCUAAGGGUUCACCCUUCAACAUACCUACAAAGCUAAACCAAGGAACAAACUUGUACUUGAAAUCCAAAGACAAGUACGAGGUUGUGCUCAAGGCUAAGCCAUUUGCUUAUGCUUCAAAGAAACAUUUCAAAGAAUGUGAGAAGUCCAAGCCUUCACCAACUCCUUACUACUACAAAUCACCUCCACCUCCCUCACCAGUUUACAAGUAUAACUCACCACCUCCACCCGUCCAUUAUUACUCACCUCCAUAUUACUACAAGUCACCUCCUCCCCCCGUGAAAGCGGCACCAACUCCUUACUACUACAAAUCACCUCCACCUCCCGCACCAGUUUACAAGUACAACUCCCCACCUCCGCCAGUCCAUUACUAUUCACCUCCAUACACCUAUAAGUCACCUCCUCCUCCUGUGAAAGCAGCACCAACUCCUUACUACUACAAAUCACCUCCACCUCCCGCACCGGUUUACAAGUACAACUCACCACCUCCACCGGUCCAUUAUUAUUCUCCACCAUACUACUACAAGUCACCACCCCCACCAUCUCCAUCACCUCCUCCACCAUACUAUUUCAAAUACUAUUACAAGUCCCCACCUCCACCAUCACCAUCCCCUCCUCCACCUUAUUAUUACAAAUCUCCUCCUCCACCAAAACAAAUUUCACACCCUCCAUACUACUAUAAGUCACCACCCCCACCAUCACCAUCACCUCCUCCACCAUACUAUUAUAAGUCUCCACCUCCACCAUCACCAUCUCCCCCACCACCUUAUUAUUAUAAGUCACCACCCCCACCAUCCCCGUCCCCUCCUCCACCAUACUACUACAAGUCUCCACCUCCACCUAAAGAAAUAUCACAUCCUCCAUAUAACUAUAAGUCACCACCCCCACCAUCACCAUCCCCUCCCCCUCCAUACUAUUACAAAUCUCCUCCACCACCAUCACCAUCACCACCACCUCCCUACUAUUACAAAUCACCUCCACCACCAUCACCAUCACCUCCCCCUCCAUACUAUUACAAAUCUCCUCCACCACCAUCACCAUCACCACCACCUCCUUACUAUUACAAAUCACCUCCACCACCAUCCCCAUCACCACCACCUCCAUACUACUACAAAAGUCCCCCUCCACCAUCUCCAUCUCCUCCAUCCCCAUAUUACUACAAAUCUCCACCACCACCAUCACCAUCCCCACCCCCUCCCUACUAUUACAAAUCACCUCCACCUCCCUCACCAUCACCGCCACCUCCUUACUAUUACAAAUCUCCCCCACCUCCAUCUCCAUCUCCACCACCUCCUUAUCACUAUCAAAGUCCUCCUCCCCCAUCUCCCAUUUCUCAUCCUCCCAACUACUACAAAUCCCCUCCACCACCAUCGCCAUCUCCUCCACCUCCAUACCAUUACGUGAGUCCUCCCCCACCAGUAAAGUCACCUCCACCACCAGCUUACAUCUAUGCUUCUCCACCACCACCAAUCUACAACUAGCCUCACAACACCAAAUCACCAUUGGUGAUAAAUUAUGUAAGUUUACCAUUAUUGCAAUCAUAACACUUGCAUCUUUUCCCACCCAUACACACACAUAUCACAUGUUUAAAUUUUAUGUACUAAUCAACAAAAACUCUUAUUUGUUUUCAGGUUCUAGUUUUCAUCAAGGAAUAAAGUCGUCCAUUUGGAGCAAAGUGAAACAACUAGCUCUCUGUCCAAAUUAUUUGAUGGCCAUCUUGCACUUCCUAAUCUUAUUGUGUUCAAGUGACUGGCUAAUCAAAAUGUGGAAGCGAGAUUAAUUUAUUUAUUAUCUCUUUGAUUUAUAUGUGCAUAGAUUGAUAUUUCCCUGUAUGAUAACUUUAUUUUUAUUGAGGAUUUUUUGUAUUGUACCCUGUUGUGUUUGUUAAAAUAAGUAUUAUCAAUGAAGAAUUACCUUCAAUUUCUUUCCACCUAAUUAGUUCUUGUUUCUUUUAAACAACUAUCAAGCAUGUCAGCAAGGCAAAGCAUACCACUACCACCAUAUCACCAUAAAAUGCAUCAUUAUUCAUUGCAUAUGAGAUAAAUAUAUGCAAACUAUAUCUAAUUAUUAAGAGGGGGAAAAAACUAAUGUACAGAAAAUGUACCUCAAGGCUUCAGGAUAGGUGUUAGAAACCCAAGCUUUUAAUAGCUCUCUCCAAGAAUCCUCGUUUCUACAACUUAAGUUCCUAUAUUAAUCAAUUAUAAUAUAUGAGAAACUUAUGUUGUCGACCAACAAUACAGGUGACUCAAAAAAAUAUUAUAUUUUAAAAGUCAAACCUUGAGCUAUACACAUGUAAGCAUCAUCAAUAUAAGUUUCACCAUUGUUCAUGUGUAUUAUUCCAUAAAUUUUGGCUCAGUUGAGGUUACUACACUGGUUUUCUUCCUAUUGUAUCAUAUAUUUAAAUACUAUGGUGCGUUUGGAUAAACAGCUUAUGUCACAAGCACUUAUCAUGAUAAGCGCUUUUGUAUAAACUUGCAUGAGUUAUUUUCAUAUCAAAAGAUAAACAAGAACAUUAAAUUGUUUUUGUAUAUUACUUAAGUUGUUUUCAUAAGCUAUGUUGAAGAACUAAUGAAAAUUAGCUGAAAAAAGCUUAUGCUGUUUUCAUGAAUUCUCCCUAACAGUCUCACAAUAUUUAUGUCAGUAUAUAAUCAAAUAAGUCAAUCCAAACAGGCCCCACGUCUUCUAUAUUAGACCAUAUGACAAUUUCUUUUCGGUUUAUUCUCAUUAAAAGUUAAAAAUGGUGUAUUUGAAUCCUAUAAUUCUUUGUCAUACAAGUGCAUUCAAAUACAAUUUGAAGCCAUGGUGAAAGUGUUUAAUUUGCAGAGCUCACCAACAUAAUCUAACGUAUAUUUGGAUUGACUUAUUUGAACUUAUCUACUAGCACAAAUACUUGUGAGAUUGUUUACGAAAGUUUAUGGAAAAAACUUACAACACACACAUAAGUUGUUUUCAGCUUAUUUCCAUAAACUCUUCAAAAUAGCUUAUGAAACAACUUAUAUGAUAAGAGCUUAUUCUAUAAGCGCUUAAUUAAGUUUUAAUCCAUUCUUCUUCUACCUUCAUCUUCAGUUAACAAAACGAAUACAAUUUCUGAAAAUUCAAAGUUCAAACACCAAAAAAUACCUAAAAUGAAAAAUUGUUGAAUGAAAGCGCAAAUAGAACCUGGCAAUGCGUUCGAGAAGCACGUGGAGGAGGUGGCGUGGCAGAAGAAUGUGUGGAUUUCAUCGGAGAAUUUCAGUUCUGCUCGCGCCAUUUAAGAAAUUUUGUAAACUUAAAGUUUAGUUUAAGUUUACCCCUCUUUUUUUUUCAUUUUAAAGGAGUUUACCCUACAAAUUUUUGUAUGUUUUUGCCACGUUUACAAAUGAUUUAAUAUGUUUUUAUCCUAUAUAUAUUUAGGGAUGUAAAUGGAUAUUAUGAUGCGGAUAGUGUAAUAUUUGUGUCUGUUCCAUUGGAUAAAUAUGAAAUCUGUACCAUAUUCAUAUCGUACGGAUAUCUGUUUAGCGGGUAAUCCACAGAUUUUGAGAUAUUUGAGUGUUUAUAGAUAUAUUCAUUGAUAACAUUUAUAAAAAUAAAAUAAAAAAUUUGUUUAAUUCUUUUUAGAGACAAAGGUUCUUCAUAUGCAUUUUCUUUUCUUUUUAACAAAACAUAAUAUUCAUACAUUAUAAUAACAACAAAGAUCAUUGACUCAACAAAAACAUAAAUAAAGUUGCUUACAUUUAAUAAAAAUAAAGUUAUUUGAUUUAACAAAAACAAAGCUCUUGCAUCAACAAUCCCAACCACUUUCACUUCCUUUUAAAAGAGUGUAAUAACAAAUAACACUCACAAUACAUAAGGUUUUUUUUUAGGAAGUUGAAUGAUAUUAAGGUUAUUUAUGUAAUUUACUCGGUUUAAUAGUCGGUAUGGAUAUCCACGGGUGUGGAUACCGUUAAAUCCGCAUCCAUAUCCAUUAAUUAGCAGGUAGUUAAAAAAUUCAUUUAUUUUAUCCAUUGAUAUCCAUUAAGGUAUCCGCUCCGUGCCCGUGACGGAUUAUAUCCGCGGAUAUUCACGGGUGCGAAUUUUUUUGUCAUCCCUAUAUAUAUAUAUUAGUCUUAAACUUGACUAUUUUUUAUUAUCAUUUGGUGCUAUAAUUAAAAAAAAAAAAAAAAUAUUGUUCGUCUGAGCCAUUUAGCUACAGGCUAUUACUUUUCUCAUUCUACAUGUUUCUCGCUUGUCCUAUUUUUUUUUUAAUACUUUUUGCUCGAAUUCUAAAAUCUAAACUCCUAUAGGGAUUUUUGGAUUCUAUAAUCCAAAACACGUUGAAACCCAAAAAUAAAAUAAAAAACUAUGUAAUUGAAAUCAAAGAUCUCUACUGCUAAUGCACGUUUUCCACAAAAACUACAAAGUAAUUUCAAAGUAAUUUCACAAAAACUAUCGUAUGAAUAGACAGCAAUGAGCAUGAUAUCAUAAAUAACUCAAAACUUUAUAAAAAUAAAAAUAAAAAAAUGAAUAAGAAGAUGUGAAGAAUGAAUGUAAACGUUGGAGGAUACAAAGCUAUUUAUAGACAUAAAAUGUUCCUAGACUCUAAAGUGGGUCAAAGAAAACAUGAAUAACAUUUACAACUUAAUUAACACAUCACAGAUCAUUCAAACCUUUGGUGUAACAUCAUCGUAUGUAGUCUGGCACAGUUUGGAUUAUACAAUCUGAACAUUUCAUAAGCAGUUUGGAUUAUAUAAUUUGAACUAUCCCAGACUGUGUUUCAGCUUGAUGUUUGGAGGGUUUUGUAUGGUGGAUAACACAAAAAAAUGACAUAAUUCAACAACGUAAAAAAUAUAAUAAGAUAAGUGAUGAUGAAAGGGAAGCCGCACCAAGAGGUGUUUUUGAAUUCGAUCCAGUUGUCCUAUCAACUGACAUAUAUUUCUAUUGGCAUGGCAGCAAGAUCAAGUUUCAAAACGACCUUUUUGUGUUCAUAUCCGCAAAAUAAUGAUGAAAGGCAAGGUAUUCCAAGAAGUGUUUUUUAACUUGAUCUCGCUACCUUGUCAACUAACAUAUUUCUAUAGACAGUGCAGCAAGAUCAAAUUUAUAACAACCUCUAGGUGUUCAUAUCCGCUAAGUAAUUUUUCGUAGUUCUUUAUUGUGAUCUACAAAAAAAAAAAAAAAAAAGAUCUAUUUAUAUAAGUUUAUGUGCGUCGCGAACCAGAUAAAUUUUCGAUGCAUUGUGGACCAAAAAAAAAUUCUAAUUCGGACUAAACAAGAUGAAUUUUCCUUCACCCUAGAAAGUAAAAGUUUUGACAAACACAAGACUGAUUAUACAUUAAAUACAACAAUCAGCCAAACUAAACAUAUUAGAUCACAAAUCUUUCAAACUAACUUCUUCAUUGGAUUCCUCCAAGAGAGCCUUGAUUUAUUUGUAUGUUCUAGGCCGAAUCAAUUUUUUUUAAUAUCUUUGAAAGGGCCCGACCAAGAAAACAUCCAACUCAAUUGGUCAUUUAAUACCGUACUGACCAAAUAUUAAAACAUUAUUCUCUUAUCGCAUUGUUCCUGAGUUUAAUCUAGGUAAACUAGAUGCUUUCAUCUUAGCCAAUCGAUGGACUUUGAUGCUCAACAUUGUCCAUCCUUCUUGUGUCUGUGUUGUUGAGUCGACGGUUGAUUUAGUCCAGCUAAUAUUGGACUUUCCCCCAUUGUAGUAAACUACAGUUAGUUUGGUGUCAGAUCAAUGAUUGAAGUGUUCAUGAUUAUUUGGUGUGGUUUAUAGCAAAUGAAAACAAGCACACCAAUUUAUAGAAGUUUAUGUGCGCCGCGGACUACAAUAACUAUUGGUGCAAUGAAGACCAUAGAAAAAGCAUGUACUUGGCUGAUUUGGAUUAUAUAAUUUACAUUGUCCCUCACCCUACAAAGUACAAAUUUCAACACAAUAUUGAACCAAUUCGGAUUAUAGAAUCCAAUCAUUUAUGAGAUAAUUUCGGAUUAUAUAAUUAAAACUAGUUCACAAUGUGAACCGCAGCUUGGUCAGCAAGACUAACUCAUUAAAAAUGUUUUUUAAGUUGGUGAACGACGCUUGACUGGUCAGCAAGACUUGAAAACAAUUUUCGUACCAUGCAUUAAUGGACCAUUACCCUCUAUGAAAUGUACUUCACAAAUUCUCCUUCCGAAUACCCACUAAUACAUCACAAAUUCUUAUUUCAUCUCACAUUCUCUCGUUCUUUUUACUUCUACAAUGUGCUUCCAUAGUUUGUGUUUCAUACAAAAAUGUUACUCUAAUAUUUUAUGGAUUGUAUGAAUGGUCAAAAGGCAAAAAUUGGCACCAUCUGUUUGGAUGUAAGGUUGAUCAUCAAAGUCUAAUCCACUAAGAGAGGAAACAAACCUUACCCCAACCUCAUUCCCCAUUCAUCUUCUUGCACCGCAUGUUUAAAUGAUACUCCCUCCGGUCCUAUUUAUAAGAGAAAGUUAGGUCAACAAAAGUUGAUGUAUCUGAACUGAAUUUUUAACCGGAUACAUCAACUUUUGUUGACCCAAAUUUCUCUUAUAAAUAGGACCGGAGGGAGUAUUUGUACAACCAUUUUGGUACAACUUUUGUACAACUUUCUCUCUCAUACUCACAUUAUGUUUUUAUUCUCUCUCUUACUUUUUUUCUCUCCAUUGUGGUUGACCAAUAAGAAGGGAGAAUAUCAAGGUUGUCACAAAAAUUGUAACAAAAGAGUUGUUCAAAUAUCAUUACUCUUAUCAUUAUGUGUUAAAUAAUUUUGUGUAAUAAGCUUCAAUGACAAUGUAAAUAUACAAUAAAAGAUAUAAAUUAUUCAUAAAAUGAAAAUUUUAUUCAUUUAUCUUUUUAUAUUUUUGUCUCUUUUAGUUUCAGUCAUUUUCAAUUAUGCAUUCUUAAUAUUAUGUCAAUGUUGAUCAAUAAUUAUUGGCAAAAGAAGUUUUCAUGUUAUAGAAUAUGAAAAUCCCUGGUACCAAAAAAAAAAAAAAUCUGAAAAUCCCUCUAUAGGAUUUCAGAUUUUAGAAUCCGACCAAAUGGUAUUUUGAAGAGAGAAAAAUAGUGUGUCUAAGUAACUCAUGUUGAGAAAAGUAAUAGCCUUAAUUAUGUCUCCGAUAAACAUUUUAUUCCCUUCCGUUAAUCAGUUAAUCCCAAAUGUCUAAGGUGAACCAAUAUUAUAGGUGGUCUACCAUAAACCUCAUAACAAUUUUAAGGUCAAAUACCACUUUUGGUCAUUUUAGUUUGACAGAAUUCUCAAGUUAGUCAUUUAAGUUUCGAAAGUUUCAAUUAGGUCCUUUUAGUUUGACAGAAUUCCCAAGUUAAUCCUUUAAGUCAUAAAAUUCAGGGGAGCAAAGUAGAUACUCCAGUUUUCAGAGGCGGAGACAUAGUCAUGUCAAAAGCAUCCCACAUCCUAUUACCACCUACUUGAACUCAUCAAGCUUGGUAUGGACCAUUCACAGUAACAUGUGUAUGUAGUCUCGUGGAGAUCUGGGACAAUAUCAAAUGGCAUGCUAAGGUGAAUCGACACAAACUGAAGCAUGUUAAAGAUUGCAUCCGGAAAAUGAAAGUUGAAGAAGAUGAACCUGCUUUGAAGAGGUUCAAGGGCACAACAUAGACUUAUUCUCCAUGUUCAAGAUGUAAAACACGCAUUGAACGAGAGACAACCCAUUAAUUUAUUUUCUCCGUUAUUUGUCUUGUGUCAUUUUUGCUCGAAUUUUUUGCCGUCAAUUCUUUAUGAAUUAUCAGUCAUAUUAUAUUACACACUAGACAAUUUUUUUGGUACCUUGAGCCUUUUCAAUCCGCCCUUAUCAUCAUUAUAUCCUUUGCUAAAUCCCUUUGAGCUUCCAUGCAUUAUUUCUUUUGUUUUUUUUAUUAAGUAACAAAUCAUGUCACAAGUUUGAACUUUUAAUGCCAUCUAUUUGAUUUCUUUUAUAGUUAGAUAGAAUAUUUUUAAGAACUUGGUAUGAUUUGAAUAUAUGUUAGGGUUAUAAGGGAGAAAUGUAAUGGCAAAGAGGAAGAGCAAGAAAAGAGAUGAAAGAUGAAGGGACAUUAGGCAGACUCAAUCACGGUAGUUAGAAUGAUUGCCUUCUGUUUUGCAGUAAUUUGCAUGAGCUUCACUUUUCAAGUAGAGUAAAAAAAACAGGAAUAGAUAGACACAUUUCUUCUAAGUUUGAGUAGUGAGUGAUAACACUUCUAUGUAAUCCCUAAAAAAAAACACUUCUAUGUAAAAAAAUCACAUGGGAAAUCCAUUCCUAUAGUACACGUAAUUUUGAUCUGGAAGGUUGACUUUUCAACAAAAUAACCUAAAAUAAUUUGUUCAUAACAUAAUAGAGGAAUCUAGAAGUGUUCGCGGUGCGGUUUGAUUCGGUUUUGAGCAAAAAAGUCAUCCAAACCGCGCGAUAAAAAAACAUGUGGUUUGGUUCGGUUGAUUUUUAAAAAAUCAUCCAAACCAAACCAAACUAAACCAAUACGGUUUGGAUUGGUUCGGUUUGUGCGGUUUAUCGCGAGAUAAAAAAAAAAUAUUACAUUAACUCUAAUAUUUCCAAAUUGUUACAAAAUAAACAUAGAACGUUUUUUUAUUUAUUUUUAUAUGAUAAAAUAUUAGGUAAAACUCAUAUCAAAAUAGGUAAAAUUAAGAAGAAUUUAUAAGCAUGAAACAAAUUAUUGGAAAGUAAAGGAAACAAAUUUAAGUAAUAUUCAUUAUUCUUGCAGCUAUGUAAUUGGGCUAGAAACAUUUUAUUUUGAUGUUUAUAUCGAACAUGAUGGUGCAACAAUGGAAAAAUCAAAUCAAAAAAGAUUAUUCUUGAGCUAUGUAAUUGAGCUAGUACAUAUUUAAGUAAUAUUCAUUAUUCUUGCGGUUUGGUUUGGUUUGAUUCGGUUGCUGAGAUGCAAACCGCAAAUCAAACCAAACUGUAUGUUUUAGUGCAAAAGUCAUCUGAAUUCAUCCGAAAUCAAGUACGAUUUUUUACGAUUUUGAAUUGGUUUAAUUUGCCGUUUUUCUAUUGGAUUGGUUCGGUUUGAACGAUCUGCAUGAAUUCUUCUAGUUGAUUGUUGGACUAUUUUUAAUUGGCAAAGGCUUAGUUGUCCAUUUAUAAAUAUAAAUACUAUUAUUACAUUAUCCAAUCCAAUAGCACCAAAACCAAUAUAAUAAUGGUAAUUUGCAAUUUUGCACGUUUCAUUCAUUUAUUGGUGCCUUAAUUUUGGGUUACAGACCGACAUUGAUCAGUUGCUAAAAAACCACUGCAUCCUUAUUUUUUACGAGGUAGAUGCAUCGGACAAAUAAACCGACAAACAAAGCUAUUCAGAAAGUGCUCAGAAAUUUUUUGUGCCCCAACAGAAAAUAUUAAGAAAGUCUUGCUACACAGUGUCUUGUAUACAAGUGAAAUAUGUGUGGUAUUAUGCACAAGUUUAUUUUUACAAGUUGAUAUAAGAAUCUAAGUAUAUUUUUAUGGAAAAUUAAUGCUAACAAAUACUUUCAAAGCAUUGUUUAAGCAAUCAAUAUUAGUAACUUUUGCAUAGAAAUAUGUGUGAUUAUUAUUUUUUCAUAUGUUUUAUAUGUUUUCAAGAAAAUAUUUUUAUUUAUGGUUUUUUUAAAUAGUGUCCUUAGGUACUUGUUAGCAAAAUCUUAUUUAUAUAAGUUGAUCUAAGAAUCUCAUUAUUGUAUCGAGUGAGAUACGGCCAUACCGAAGCUUAUGGAUUCCAUAGUGGAAAAAUAACUUUUCAUCAGUGCAAUACUAUUUUAGUUGUAGAAUUUCUUUUCUUGUGUGUCCUAUUUCAGAUUUUAAAAUCCAAACAAUCGAAGGUUUAUGAAGGUUUUUCGAACAUUUUCGCACUGUUUGAAUUAUAUGAUCUGAAAUGUCAUAGAACAUGCGAGAAGCAAGUUGAAUGAAAUAAAAAACUCCUGCUCAAUAGAAUUAUUUUACUUGGUUAUUGUUUGAAUUUUAUUCUCCUUCAAAGACGGCAAUGUGCAAUUGUGCAUUUCAUCCGGAGAGUGGCAACAUCUCAUGCAUGUUCAUCUCAUAUAACUGAGAAGUCACAUGGCUUGGAAAAUCUUAAACCGAGAAAAACAAAAGGAGUAAAAGUAAUAAUAGUGAACCAAAGUGAAGAUGAACUUGUAGUCUAUCAAAAGAAGAUGAACUUGUUCGUCUUGGCAUAGUAACUCAUUUUUAUUCCUUGUUACCUAUGAAACACGGACAAUAGAUACAACACGGACACCAAUACGUUAAUACCGUUAAUAAUAUAAAAAAAUAGGUACAUUGAAUAAUUAAUGUAUUUGACCUAUAAAUGUGACCAGAUAUAUUAAUUAUUCAAUGUAUCUAAAAAGUUGGUUUUUGUUUAUAAAUAUGAUCAUAUGGAGUACUACUUUAGUGUAAUUUUAUGUAUUGGUACUGCGAGACAUCUAAUCUAAAGAGUGUCAAUGUUUUCACACAUAUUACUCACCAAAGUGCACACAUUAUAUGCAUUUAGGUAAACUGAGUUCAUCCAAAAUUGUAACCGCACAAACAGAGGGCCGCUAGGAAAUAUGAGGUAAAUUUGGAUUAUUCUUUAUCAAAAGCUUAUGACCAAAGAAAAACUAUACAAAAACUAAUGUUCAAAAAGUACAUAAAGUAAUAAUGCAAAGUCAAUGUGUAUAUAUAUUUCACCAUUAAAUAAAAGGGGAAAAAAAUCUCCAUACACAGCUUGCAAUAGCUACCAUCAUGGCCUAAAGCAAAUAUCAUAUGACCACUAAAAAACAAUAGAAAAUAAACAAAUAAAAAGAGAAAAACAAAAGAGAAAAUGGUAUAAAGAAAUCAUGUAGUAGUUAGUUUUUUCUCAAGAUGGGCAACUCAGCAGGGCUGCUAGGAGGAAAUUACAAAAGAACAUGACACUUAACUUCUCUAAUCAUUCAAAAUUUGUCAAGAUGCUGAUUAUAUAUUUUAAUUAGUAGUUAGAGAUUGUUAUAGUAACGUGUUCUAGCCAUCAAGAAUAAAACAAUGUCAUGGAAAAGAAGUGGCCUACUAGAAGAAUUAAUUUAAAGCAUUUACACCAAAAUAAAAACAAAUUGAAUAUUGGAAUUGGUCCUUCAUGAUAGCUUCCCCUUAACAACUAACUCUAACUAUAAAUACUGAAUCUUGCAUGCAACAUUUCAUAGUAAACACUAAGACCAAAACCUCUUCUUUCUAUCCAUGACUGCUAGGGCUAGUUGCCCCAAAAUGGGGCAUUUUUGGCCACAAAUGGCAAUGGCAUUGGCCAUUGUUUUGAUUUCUACUACUAUGGUUUCUGCUUCUGAUAGCUACAUUUACUCUUCGCCUCCACCACCUUAUGAGUACAAGUCCCCACCACCGCCGUCUCCCUCACCACCUCCUCCUUAUGUGUAUAAGUCACCACCUCCCCCAUCCUCGUCACCCCCACCACCAUAUGAGCACAAGGCUCCAUCUUAUGAGUACAAGUCACCACCACCACCAACUUCUUCACCACCACCUCCUUAUGUAUACAAGUCACCACCACCACCAUCUCCUUCACCGUCACCUCCUUAUGUGUACAAGUCACCACCACCUCCAUCCCCAUCACCCCCACCUCCUUACGUGUACAAGUCACCACCACCACCCUCGCCUUCCCCGCCCCCACCAUACUAUUACAAGUCUCCUCCACCACCCUCGCCUUCCCCACCGCCACCAUACUAUUACAAGAGUCCUCCACCACCCUCUCCUUCACCUCCACCUCCUUACUACUAUAAAUCGCCUCCACCACCCUCACCUUCCCCUCCCCCACCAUACUAUUACAAGUCUCCUCCACCACCAUCUCCCUCACCACCUCCUCCAUAUUACUACAAGUCUCCCACACCACCUUCACCCUCCUCUCCACCCCCAUAUAUACACAAGGAUCCACCAUACUAUUACAAGUCCCCACCACCCCCUUCACCAUCUCCUCCACCACCAUACUACUAUAAAUCUCCCCCACCACCCUCACCCUCUCCACCCCCACCUUACUAUUACAAGUCUCCUCCACCACCUUCACCAUCUCCUCCACCACCAUACUAUUACAAAUCUCCUCCUCCUCCAUCUCCUAUUCCCCAUACACCUUACUAUUACAAAUCUCCCCCACCACCUUCACCAUCUCCUCCACCACCAUACUAUUACAAAUCUCCUCCUCCUCCAUCUCCUAUUCCCCGUACACCUUACUAUUACAAAUCUCCCCCACCACCUUCACCAUCUCCUCCACCACCAUACUACUACAAAUCCCCUCCUCAUCCAUCUCCCAUUCCCCAUACACCUUACUAUUACACAUCUCCCCCACCACCUUCACCGUCUCCUCCACCACCAUAUUACUACAAAUCUCCUCCCCCUCCGUCUCCUAUUCCCCACACACCUUACUACUACAAGUCCCCACCACCACCAAAGGUCCUUCCACCACCAUACUAUUACAAUUCUCCUCCUCCACCUGUUGUGUAUCCUCACCCAUAUCCCUACCACCACUCACUUAUUGUGAGGGUAGUCGGUAAAGUCUACAGCUUCAGAUGUUAUGAUUGGAAUUAUCCUGCAAAGUCUCAUAACAAGAAACAUCUCAAAGGUACAUUACAUUUCUUAGGACCGGACCUCUUUAGAGUAAUGUGUUUAGAGAUAAUGCACAAUUUUUUAUUUUUUUAUCUCGUAAAGGUUUAUUUAUUAUAAUCACAAUUUCACUUUUGUCAAAAAGAAAAACAAUUUUACUAUAUAUAGUUUUAAUCAUUAACAUUUUGAUGUAAAAAGAAUACAAUUCUCUAUUACCUUUUUACUAUGAUAUAUAUACAAAGAUUAUUCAAAUCUAUAUAUCCAACCUAAUUUCCAUCCAAAAAAAUAGAAAACAUAGGGUGCUUUGAACGCCUGCAGCAUCACAUGAAUAAAUAAAAACAAUCAAUAAUCAACCUUGUUCUAAUUUAUUUUAGACAGCGAUUGUUAAGCAUACUGCUCUUUUAAUUACAUUUUUUUUAAAGAUGCUCUUUUAAUUAUAUUGUCCUAAUAUAAUAUGUGUCUUUAUAUAUUACUUGUCGUAAACUAAUUUUAUUAUGGGUGCAGGAGCUGUUGUUGAGGUGACAUGCAAAGCCGGGAGCAAAAUUGUCAAGGCUUAUGGAAAAACUAAGAACAAUGGAAAGUAUGCCAUCACAGUUAAGGACUUUGACUAUGUCAAAUAUGGUUCGACAGUGUGCAAGGCUACCCUUUAUGCUCCACCUAAGGGUUCACCCUUCAACAUACCUACAAAGCUAAAUCAAGGAACAAAGUUGUACUUGAAAUCCAAAGACAAGUACGAGGUUGUGCUCAAGGCUAAGCCAUUUGCUUAUGCUUCAAAGAAACAUUUCAAAGAAUGUGAGAAGCCUAAGCCUUCACCAACUCCUUUCUACAACUCACCACCUCCACCCGUCCAUUAUUACUCACCUCCAUAUUACUACAAGUCACCCCCUCCCCCUGUGAAAGCGGCACCAACUCCUUACUACUACAAAUCACCUCCACCACCCGCACCGGUUUACAAGUACAACUCCCCACCUCCACCAGUCCAUUAUUAUUCACCACCAUAUACCUACAAGUCACCUCCUCCACCUGUGAAAACGGCACCAACUCCUUACUACUAUAAAUCACCUCCACCACCCGCACCGGUUUACAAGUACAACUCCCCACCUCCACCGGUCCAUUAUUAUUCACCACCAUAUACCUACAAGUCACCUCCUCCACCUGUGAAAACGGCACCAACUCCUUACUACUAUAAAUCACCUCCACCACCCGCACCGGUUUACAAGUACAACUCCCCACCUCCACCGGUCCAUUAUUAUUCACCACCAUAUACCUACAAGUCACCUCCUCCACCUGUGAAAACGGCACCAACUCCUUACUACUAUAAAUCACCUCCACCACCCGCACCGGUUUACAAGUACAACUCCCCACCUCCACCGGUCCAUUAUUAUUCACCACCAUAUACCUACAAGUCACCUCCUCCACCUGUGAAAACGGCACCAACUCCUUACUACUAUAAAUCACCUCCACCACCCGCACCGGUUUACAAGUACAACUCCCCACCUCCACCGGUCCAUUAUUAUUCACCACCAUAUACCUACAAGUCACCUCCUCCCCCUGUGAAAGUAGCACCAACUCCAUACUACUACAAAUCACCUCCACCUCCUGCACCGGUUUAUAAGUACAACUCACCUCCUCCACCAGUCCAUUAUUAUUCUCCUCCAUACUACUAUAAGUCACCACCCCCACCAUCACCAUCCCCUCCUCCACCUUAUUAUUACAAAUCUCCUCCUCCACCGAAAGAGAUUUCACACCCUCCAUACUACUAUAAGUCACCACCCCCACCAUCCCCAUCACCUCCUCCACCAUACUAUUACAAGUCCCCCCCUCCACCAUCACCAUCUCCACCACCACCAUACUAUUACAAGUCACCACCUCCACCAUCUCCAUCUCCUCCUCCACCAUACUAUUAUAAGUCACCACCUCCACCAUCCCCAUCCCCUCCUCCACCAUAUUACUAUAAGUCACCAGCUCCACCAUCCCCAUCCCCUCCUCCACCAUACUAUUAUAAGUCCCCACCUCCACCGUCACCAGCUCCACCACCACCUUACUAUUAUAAGUCACCACCCCCACCAUCACCAUCCCCUCCCCCUCCAUAUUAUUACAAAUCUCCUCCACCACCAUCCCCAUCACCACAACAUCCCUACUAUUACAAAUCACCUCCACCACCAUCGCCAUCACCACCACCUCCCUACUAUUACAAAUCACCUCCACCACCAUCACCAUCGCCUCCACCUCCAUACUACUACAAAAGCCCCCCUCCACCUUCUCCCUCUCCUCCUCCCCCAUAUUACUACAAAUCUCCACCACCACCAUCACCAUCACCACCCCCUCCCUACUAUUACAAAUCACCUCCACCACCGUCACCAUCACCGCCACCUCCUUACUAUUACAAAUCUCCCCCACCUCCAUCUCCAUCUCCACCACCUCCUUAUCACUAUCAAAGUCCUCCUCCACCAUCUCCCAUUUCUCAUCCUCCCUACUACUACAAAUCCCCUCCACCACCGUCUCCAUCUCCUCCACCUCCGUACCAUUACGUGAGUCCUCCCCCACCAGUAAAGUCUCCUCCACCAUCAGUUUACGUUUAUGCUUCUCCAC
rnacentral:lncRNA from 1 species